GUUUAAAGCAUCUUUGAAUACAGUGGAGAGGUGGUCUCUUCAACUAGUUUCUGUUUCAACAUUUUAACCUGCAGGUCUGCUUUAUUUUGAAGUACCAUUUAAAAAAAUAAUGUAGAGCACUAAUUUGUUUGGAACUUUUGAAAAUCUCAAGACAUCACAAAGCACUUUACUAUUAAUGGUGUGCUCAAUCUUUCAGGAAACAUCCAAAAUACAAAAAGCAAUACAAUAAGUAGCAGUAAUUACCUUUACAAUUACAUCUCAAACCAGUCUCUCUCCUGUUCAGAGAUUUUCACUCUCUCACUUUUGUUUCAUAUUCAUCUAUCCCUGUUUUAGCCUUGCCUGCCCUUCACUUUCUAAACCAUCUUUCUUUUACCAGUGCAGUCUUUCAUCUUGUCCAUUACCUUUUUCAAAACCAUCUGACCAAUGCAGCCUUUCUUGUCACAUUCACCCCUUUCCAGACCAUGAUGUACUCACUAUCUCUUUCAUACUCUUUCAGUAUCCCCAAUGCCUAUUGUUUCCCAAACCCCACUAACCUCCUUCUAUCACAUGUUCCAUCUCAUUUUAUCAUUUAACUCCAUUUCUCUGACCUUAAACUUGCUUUCCCUUCUAAUUGAAUUCUCUCUCAUACACGUUCCUCUGUUUCUUCAUAUUCCUUCCCUACCCUUUCCUCUUCCCACCUCCACCUAUUCCCCUAGUUUCUGCCUUUUUUUUUCAUCACCUUUUAUAGCCCACUCCCUGUAAUCUUCCCCUAUUUUAAUGUUUAUAAGCAUCAAACGAACACCGCAGCUGGUGUAGAAGCAGAGCACACUAUUUUUUCCUCUUUUUUCAAUUGAUAUUUGGCUGGGAGCACUAUAUACAAAUUUUACCUCAGCAAAUAAUUUUGAUACUUAUCCUUUAAUGUCUCAAAUAAUUUGGAAAUUCUUGGAGUGGUAUGUGCUGGUGUUAAUAAAUAAAUCCCAGACCAGUCAGCUGAUGCAGAUGCAUCUUGGGAGAUGAGGGUUACUGCACAUGCUCAGACUGCUAAACCUCAACUUGUCACAAUAUGGUGCCAAGCAAAAAUAUCAACCAUAAUCUCAAGCUUUUGGGACAAGCUCUGUCUUCUUCCAAUAAAGUUGUGGAAGGAAAAAUUUAUCAUUUGCAUUGCAUUGUUGCUGGAGGGUAUUGGGCCACGGCUAACCUCUUCAAGGGACCACUUCACUCACAAGACCCGAAUUUAAUGUCCACAAGAAAGCCUUGAGAAAAUCGAAUAGCUUUUUAGACACUGCAUGAAGCAGUUCAGAACCAAUAGCAUUGUGAUUACCAGUUCAAUAGCAACUGAACUACCACAGCUAUGGAAAGAAAAGUUUCACCACACUACCGAAGGAGGAAGGUUGCUUCAGUUAAAUUUACAUUAUUCUCUAGCUGAUCGCAUACUGAAGUAAAAUAUGGAUUGCCUUCAUCUCAGUAGGUCAGUAACGGCCCUUUGAGCAAUAUUAAUGUACUGUAUUAGUGGUGAGCGGUGGUAACUGUUACUGCAGAUACAUUUCCAUUGACACAAAUGCCAGAGUCAGCUUUACGAGUGAAUGCACACGAUUCCCCGCUCCUGUUCUCAGAAUUUCUUUUCUGGAGUGCAUCUCUUUAAGACUAAUUGUCUUUGUCUUGAGUUGGUCGUCCUACUGCGGUUCGGUACAGAUCGCCCAGUGCUGGGCUCCGUCCCCUCCUCGAAUACUCACCAGUGUUCUCUUUGUAUUAACGUUAGAGAAGACGUUUCACUUCGCCUGUCACGAAUUACGUUCGCCUCCCCAGCUGUCAAAACAGGGGGUGUCUCUUUCAUUCCGCCUCCUAGCACCAAAGGACUCUUUAAUGCUCAUGUUUGGACACAAGCAAUUACCCCUAAUUAUUGUUUUUCUUUUCAGUGUGCCUGUCCUGCUGGAGGUCCGGCAGAUGAACAUGCCAUAAUCCGCCACAGUCGGCUGACCUCGGUCCGGUUUUGCUGGAAAACCUUGGGGAGAGGCACCGUGGCUUUCAUCUCAAUGAUAAUUGAGACAGUGCGGUGAAUUGAUUCAAACUCAUUCAGAUUGCUGAAUUAACCUCUGUGUACCGCCUUUAAAUGGACUCAGCUAAGAGCUUAUACGUGUUGAUGGCCGUGCUUUCAAACAAACCUCAGCUGUCAAAGGCACAUUGCUUUGACCUCUUUUUGGGGGGCGAAUGUGUAUUACGAGAUUUUUGUCUAAUCAUAAAUAACGCGCAAUUUUCUCACUUCUAACAUUAAUAUCUAAUUGUAGAUCCAUUCUUUUAUGAAAAGAUAACUUUAAUAAUGCGUAUUUUCUAUACAAAUUUAGGUCUUGGACAUUACUUUAAAAGUUAAUUAUUUUAGUUGGUGAACAUAACUUUCGUGACAGUUUUCUGUUAUCUGUCCAUAAUGGUCCUGGAACCUGGUUGGGCUUCACUGUGUUAAUGAUACUAAAGAGCCCGAAGUAACAACUUACUUGUGGCGGGCUUCCUUCAUCUUGCUUACCUUGUCUCAAAGAGGAAGGUCUGUUGAAGCUCCAAUAUUCUUUAAAAGUCAGGAGCCAAAAAAGUAAUAAACUAUAUUUAAAAAGUUAUUGUUCCUGCUGGAUCCGCGCUGUGGUGGAGGGCUCAGUGAACAGUAGGAAAAGAGACUUUCGUCGCGAAGGAACAACUGCGCCGUAAACUCGCAGCACUAGAUUAAAAUAAUUUUGUAAAGUAGUAACAAUACAGGUUGCUAAUUAGAAAUUUUUAUUUGCGUAAAAAAAGUUAUUCCUUUCCUCAAAUUAUGAUUAUUAUUUACACUGAGUGAAAACAUUUUUGUUUUACUUUUGAUAAUGUCACUUACAGACAGUAAUAGCCUCCCGCCGUUAAUACGGAAAUUUAUUGGUUGUGUUAUCGAUUAUAUAUGAAUGCCUUUUCAGAGAUGCCCAUUCUGCAACACUAAGAAUUUUUUUUUGCGUUCAAGAUUUUUUCAUCAGAACGGUACUACUAACUGUCUCUCCUCAGAUGCUGUCAGACCAGCUGACCAUUUCCAGUAUCUCCUAUUUUAUAUUACAUUUCAAACCUCCAUAUACUUUGCCUUUACAUUUUGUUUUAAAUUGUUUUACUUAUGAAGGGAGAAGUGUUUCUUAGGAAAGGGUAAAAUAUGCAAAACAUUUCGCUUUAUUUUUUGUUCUCGUAGAUAAAACAUAAUGGAGCAAGAUGAUAAACUACGAAUGUGUCAUUUAAGUAAGAAAUACUAAUUAUAAAGCGAGAAGACCUCUAUUGAAUCUCAUUAAAGAAGAAAUUGUGACCCGAAGGCUGUUAGAGGCUGGUAAAUUACACAGGAAUCUCCUGCCGAAUUUUUAUUCUAACGCUUAAUAACGUGUUACAUUUAAUUACAGACAUAAAAAUCUAUGGUCCUGUAUAAAGUUUGUAAAAUAUUUUGUUUAAUAAAAAGUAUAAUUUAUUUCUUUCAAUGGAGUUUCAACGCCCGUUUGACCCAUCGCGAAUUUCAUGUUCGAAUUUCAUGCUUUUCAUUCAUGCAUUCACGCUUCGCGCAACUACAUGCAUUCCGGAACACGGCAUUUACCAUUCCAGAAAUUAGGCUGCAAAUAUUAAAUACUUCAUUCGAUCUGUGCAUAUAUCUUGCCUUAAACUGAGUUACAAUGUGUGCUUCUAAAUUUAAACUAUGAAAAUGUAAUCAAAUAAUUUGUCACACUCAAAAGUUGUCCAUUUAUUCCGAGUCCGUGAGUCUGCAUUAUAGUAUUCCUGUGAAAAUCAGGGACUUCGUAAAAUUUUGAUGCAAAACCUUUUAAUUGAUACUUUUUAACCAUAAUUUUCAUUUGUUGAGAAAAAUGGCGCUAGUCACUUCAUAGUUCAUUAAACGAGGACAAUUGACAGUACCUAUUCAAGGAGAACAUGGCCCAUCUACUUUAACCGUUCAUUCCUAAUGAUUAAGCUUUUUAUUUCAAUUGACCCAUUACUAAAAUACUUCUGCCGUGAGUUUACCGUGACCCCAUCUCAUAUUUUAAAAGCCCGGAAAAAAACAGUAUUCCUUUUUCUUGUUUAAUUUCCGGUUAAAUAAACGAUUGCUCCUUAAUUCUGGGUGGUCUCUGUAAUUACU